rnacentral:piRNA from 1 species
AAAUUUGAGAAUCUCUGCAAGCU